CUGACUUUCUUGAGAGUACAUUUUACAGACUUUAAGCCAAGAGAGAGAUGAAGAGAAGGAGAAAGCACUGCCCUUUCCUUCUACUUUGGUGCACAAGGCGUACUUUCAAUGUUUCAGUGGUAACUCCAAGCCAAAUUACAAACCAAGUUAUUAUAUGUCUUUUCUUUGAAGUCAAUAUGAAUUCUGAUAUUCAACUUUGGAGUGGUUGUUUUCAGAUAAUGUGUGAAGAAAAUUGCUGUACGGUCCAGACAAUACAGCAGACUGAAAGCAUCUGUUUGCUUAAGAGGAAAUUAAAUCUCUUUGGAAAGAAGAUGCUACAACCCUAAUAUUUGUCAAAUGAGCCAAGUUCCACUGUCCAAAAGCUUCUGUCACAUGACAGCAUGUGAGUGUUGAGAGCUGUGUUUCUACUGCCAUCAAGAUGAUUGCAAUUUUCACUAGGGGCUAAAGUUGUAAAGUUCACAGACUUGAGAGGCAGGCAUGAGGAACAGAAGUAAAACAUAAAGGAUUUAGAGAACCACAUGGACUAAAAUAAUUUGCAUAACUUUUUGUAUUUCUGAUGAAGUGUAUAAAUUCAUUAAUAACAAGGGAAGGACUCUACAGAAAAAGAAAGAUCCCGUAGAUCUGACUUCAGGUCCUGGGUCCAAUCUGAAGCCUUUUAGCAGGUUAGAACAUCUAUCAUUUUAUUUUCAUUUCUAAUAUAAGGAACAAACAGCCAUAUAAAAAUAUACGUAAGCGACCUGGAAGACUUUCAGUAAUUUUAAGAAAUUACGACAUUCCUUGUAGUUAAUUCAGUUUUACCAUUACAGCAGAUAAAGUUUCAGUCAAAGAUAUCAUACAAAGGUAUCUUAGCACAAUUUAUUUUUACAACUGCAAGUUCUUUUGCCUCUUUAUCUUAAUAUGUGAAGUAGAAUUAAUUAAGCAUUGUUCUUAAAACAAUUUAAGGGGAAGUAGUAUCAUCUAUUAAACUUUACAUCCUGGUAUAAUCAACAUCUAAUGCUGAACACCAAAACCUUUACUCUCCAAAGUAUUAUGUACUUGAACGAAAGCACAAAAUCUGUUGCAAAAUCUUGUUGUUCCUAGACUUUUUACAAGCAUUAAGUCUACUUUUUCUCACUUUCAGUACUUCACUCUUAACAGUGAAAGGCCUUUCGGGAAA